rnacentral:rRNA from 1 species
AAGUCGUAACAAGGUUUCCGUAGGUGAACCUGCGGAAGGAUCAUUAAUGAAUAAGACUCGAUGGGUUGUUGCUGGUCUCUCGGGACAUGUGCACGCCUGUCUUUGUUCCAUUCAUCCACCUGUGCACCAUUUGUAGUCUUUUAGGGCAGAGAAUGAUUGUCAAUCAGUCGAGAGACUGGAUCAGAGGAUUGCAUGUGCGCGGAAAUGGUGCAGCUCUCCUCAGUAAUACAAUUGUGAUCUCCCUUGAAGUCUAUGUUUUUGUUCAUAUACCACGUAGAAUGUCACAGAAUGUGUUCAUUAGGCCCUUGUGCCUAUAAAACUAUAUACAACUUUCAGCAACGGAUCUCUUGGCUCUCGCAUCGAUGAAGAACGCAGCGAAAUGCGAUAAGUAAUGUGAAUUGCAGAAUUCAGUGAAUCAUCGAAUCUUUGAACGCACCUUGCGCUCCUUGGUAUUCCGAGGAGCAUGCCUGUUUGAGUGUCAGUAAAUUCUCAACCCCCUCUGGCUUUUGUAGCUGGAUUGCGGGGCUUGGAUGUGGAGGCUUAUGCUGGUCCUCUCAGAGUGGUCAGCUCCUCUAAAAUGCAUUAGCGGAACCGUUUGCGAUCCGUCACUGGUGUGAUAAUUAUCUACGCCAAUUGGGUUGCUCAUUGUUUGUUCAGCUUCUAAUAGUCCCUCUUACUGGGACAGCUUUCUGAACUCUUGACCUCAAAUCAGGUAGGACUACCCGCUGAACUUAA